CAGUAGCCGCGGUAUACGGAGGGUGCAAGCGUUAUCCGGAUUUAUUGGGUUUAAAGGGUCCGUAGGCGGAUCUGUAAGUCAGUGGUGAAAUCUCACAGCUUAACUGUGAAACUGCCAUUGAUACUGCAGGUCUUGAGUAAAUUUGAAGUGGCUGGAAUAAGUAGUGUAGCGGUGAAAUGCAUAGAUAUUACUUAGAACACCAAUUGCGAAGGCAGGUCACUAAGAUUUAACUGACGCUGAUGGACGAAAGCGUGGGGAGCGAACAGGAUUAGAUACCCGGGUAGUCCCUGUCUCUUAUACA
rnacentral:rRNA from 1 species